CGCGCCGACCCGCCUAAUCGUGAUCAUACGAACCGGGGAACCAAUGCUCCUUUGGGGUGAAUCUGCGGGCUGCGGCCCGUGGUAGGGCGUACUUCCCGCCCGAAUCCGUCAGCUAACCCGGUCGGCGGCGUCGGAAGGAGUU
rnacentral:sRNA from 1 species